CCUACGGGUGGCAGCAGUAGGGAAUCUUUCACAAUGGGCGAAAGCCUGAUGGAGCAACGCCGCGUGCGUGAUGAAGGCCUUCGGGUUGUAAACUGCUUUUAUAAGCGAGGAAUGUGAUGGUAACUUAUUAAUAAGGAUCGGAUAACUACGUGCCAGCAGCCGCGGUCAUACGUAGGAGCCGAGCAUUAUCCGGGGUGACUGGGUGUAAAGAGUUGCGUAGGUGGCAUAAUAAGUAGCUAGGGAAAUCUGGUGGCUCAACCAUUCAGACUAUUAGCUAAACUGUUAAGCUCGAGACCGUUAGGGGUAACUGGAAUUUCUAGUGUAGGAGUGAAAUCCGUAGAUAUUAGAAGGAACACCAAUAGCGUAGGCAGGUUGCUGGGACGGUUCUGACACUAAGGCACGAAAGCGUAGGGAGCAAACGGGAUUAGAUACCCCUGUAGUC
rnacentral:rRNA from 1 species